rnacentral:rRNA from 1 species
UACGAGGGGGGCAAGCGUUGUUCGGAAUUAUUGGGCGUAAAGGGCGCGUAGGCGGUGCGGUAAGUCACCUGUGAAAUCUCUGGGCUCAACUCAGAGUCUGCAGGCGAAACUGCCGUGCUUGAGGACUGGAGAGGAGACUGGAAUUUACGGUGUAGCGGUGAAAUGCGUAGAUAUCGUAAGGAAGACCAGUGGCGAAGGCGGGUCUCUGGACAGUUCCUGACGCUGAGGCACGAAGGCCAGGGGAGCAAACGGG